GGAUCUGCAUUUCAUUGAGACGGUGUUGGAGUCCACACAGUGGAGAUUAAAUAGCCCGUUGCCUGAAUGCAAAAAGGCGAAAAUAAAUCAGCCUUUACUGCAAGCAGGGUGGCAGGGAGUUAAUUAGGAAAAGGAAAAAAAAAACAUUUCAACUUACAAAGAGGCGGGGGAAGGUGGCAGACUGCAGAGAGUCCUCACAGACAGGAGGAGACCUUUGCUGUGCCCCAUGGGAGGUGACAGUGGCCUGGACUGGAGAAUGACUGCUAUGAUGAAGAGGAGCUGCCCAGGGCGGAUUUCACAAAGCACCUCCCUUGAGGGACACAGCUCAUUAAGCUCAGCUCCAAACGCAGCAGAACCAAGUUCUGAAAACUUCAAUGCCAGACAGGGCCUCUCACACGAUCAGAAGCUUAACAGGCCCGAAUGGCAGGACAGUGAACUCUAGGCAUCCUCCUGGCUCUGUCUCCCCUAGCUGCGGUUGUCAGUUCACACUGGAGUGAUGCUGGGGUAAGCACGUUACCCCGACCAUCUCUUCAGCCCCUCCUUUGUCUUUUCAUCCUGCUAAGCCUGUGUCAGAGACAGAUGUGUCUCCCUGGAAGGGUGGGUGUGUACCAGACAUGCCCCUGCUGGGCUGUGGGGUGGGGCCUCGAGGUCGUCACACACCUUCAUGCUUCUCGGUC